rnacentral:rRNA from 1 species
GAUGAACGCUGGCGGCGUGCCUAAUACAUGCAAGUCGAGCGAACAGACGAGGAGCUUGCUCCUCUGACGUUAGCGGCGGACGGGUGAGUAACACGUGGAUAACCUACCUAUAAGACUGGGAUAACUUCGGGAAACCGGAGCUAAUACCGGAUAAUAUAUUGAACCGCAUGGUUCAAUAGUGAAAGACGGUUUUGCUGUCACUUAUAGAUGGAUCCGCGCCGCAUUAGCUAGUUGGUAAGGUAACGGCUUACCAAGGCAACGAUGCGUAGCCGACCUGAGAGGAUGAUCAGCCACACUGGAACUGAGACACGGUCCAGACUCCUACGGGAGGCAGCAGUAGGGAAUCUUCCACAAUGGGCGAAAGCCUGACGGAGCAACGCCGCGUGAGUGAUGAAGGUCUUCGGAUCGUAAAACUCUGUUAUUAGGGAAGAACAAAUGUGUAAGUAACUAUGCACGUCUUGACGGUACCUAAUCAGAAAGCCACGGCUAACUACGUG